UACAGAGGUCUCAAGCGUUGUUCGGAUUCAUUGGGCGUAAAGAGCUCGUAGGCGGUUUGUCACGUCUGCUGUGAAAUCCCGAGGCUCAACCUCGGGCCUGCAGUGGGUACGGGCAGACUGGAGUGCGGUAGGGGAGAUUGGAAUUCCUGGUGUAGCGGUGGAAUGCGCAGAUAUCAGGAGGAACACCGAUGGCGAAGGCAGAUCUCUGGGCCGUAACUGACGCUGAGGAGCGAAAGCGUGGGGAGCGAACAGG
rnacentral:rRNA from 1 species